rnacentral:rRNA from 1 species
UACAGAGGUCUCAAGCGUUGUUCGGAUUCAUUGGGCGUAAAGGGCGCGUAGGCGGCAUCGCAAGUGGAAGGUGAAAUCCCUCGGCUUAACCGAGGAACUGCCCUCCAAACUGCGUUGCUUGAGGCCGGGAGAGGUGAGUGGAACUGCGAGUGUAGAGGUGAAAUUCGUAGAUAUUCGCAAGAACACCAGUGGCGAAGGCGGCUCACUGGCCCGAUACUGACGCUGAGGCACGAAAGCGUGGGGAGCAAACAGG